GGACUACCGGGGUAUCUAAUCCUGUUUGCUCCCCUUGCUCUCGCGCCUCAGCGUCAGGUACUAACUAGAAAACCGCUUUCGCCACUGGUGUUCUUCCACAUAUCUACGCAUUUCACCGCUACACGUGGAAUUCCGUUUUCUCCGUCAACCCUCUAGAAUGAUAGUUUCAAAUGCAGCUCCAGAGUUGAGCUCUGGAAUUUCACAUCUGACUUAUCGUCCCGCCUACGCGCCCUUUACGCCCAAUAAUUCCGAUUAAUGCUUGCACUCUCCGUAUUACCGCGGCUGCUGGCAC
rnacentral:rRNA from 1 species